GACAGAGGGGGCAAGCGUUGUCCGGAAUUACUGGGCGUACAGCGCGCGCAGGCGGCCGGGUAUGUGCCGUGUGACAGGCGGAGGCUUAACCUCUGACGGCCACGGUAGACAGCCCAGCUGGAGGCAGGGAGAGGGAUGUGGAAUACCCGGUGGAGCGGUGAAAUGCGUAGAGAUCGGGUGGAACACCAGCGGCGCAGGCGGCAUCCUGGCCCUGACCUGACGCUGAGGCGCGAGAGCGUGGGGAGCGAACUGG
rnacentral:rRNA from 1 species